rnacentral:lncRNA from 1 species
CCAAGAGUUUGCGAGAGUGACAGAGCGAAGAGGAUGAAGGGACAGAGGAGGGAGACACUGGGAGAGCCAGAGCAGGCGGUGGGGAGAGGGAGAGAGACGCACGGAAGGAGAGACCGCGAGGAAAGGCAAAGGAUAACAAUAAGGAGAGGAAGGGAGAAAGAAGAGGAGGGAGAGAAUGAAAGACCCAAAACUUGAGAGAGAGGCAGAGAGAGAGACAGAGAAGCAGGAGAGAGAGGAGAAGAGACAGGCAACGGAAGCAAAGACGCCGCCCAGUCCGAGGAGCCGGGACCAGUCCCGCUGCGCACUUUCCCCCGCGGCAAAGCUGGGUCUCGGGAGGCGUCCGGGACAGGUAGAAAACAGUCAUCAAAUCAUCACCACAUUGCUGGCCAGCACGGUGGCUCACGCCUGUAAUUCCAGCACUUUGGGAGGCCGAGGCGGGUGGAUCACUUGAGAGACCUGGUCUUGCCAUGUCACCUAGGCUGGCCUCCUUCUCCUCAGCUCAAAAGAUCCACCAGGCUCAGCCUCCAGAGUAGUUGGGACUACAGAUGCACAGCACCAGGCCCAGCUUCACUAGAUAAUUUUUAAUAGCAGAGGGGAAAAUGGUAACUUCACAGUGAAGAAGCCUGGCAGACAUCCCAUUAACCAAAUGAGCAAAGUUACCAUCCCUAGUUAGAAAACCUAUUGAUGUUACAUAAACUUUGAUGUGCUGUAACCCGGUUCUUCUGUAUUUUAUUUUUUUCUAAAAAUGCAUAGCUUCGAUUUAAUCUUAGGAAACUUCAGAUGAACCAAAUUGCCAGACAUUUUACAAAAAAACUGACCAGUACUCUUCAAAGUGUCAAGCUACUGAAUGACAAAGAAGGCCUGAGGAACCUACUGGAGGAGACUAAGGGAUCCUGGAUUAGAGCCUAGAUGAGAACAACACAUUAGAGAGCAAAGUAGCAAACUUGAAUGACAUCUGCCAUUUAAUAGUAUUGUAUCCAUGUCAAUUUCCUGGUUUUGAUCAUUGGACUGUGGUCAUAGAAGUUGUUAACAUUAGGGAAGGCAGAGUGAGGGGUAUACAGGAACUCUCCUAUUUGUGUAAUUUUUCUGUAAAGUCUAAAUUAUUUCAAAAUAAAAUAAAAGAAGUCAUGGAAUUCCAAGAAUAAAAUCUCUGGGCUCUUUCUCCUCUUCAAUUUACUCCAAUCAGGAGGAAAUGGCAGACUGAGCUGGGUCAGUGUCUUGCACUCGUACUAUCUGUCUGUACAAGGUGAACAGAGAAAAAUGGCUCUGGUGUUAGGAGUUUACAAUAUGCGUGGUGUGCCCACUCCAUCACUUGUAAAUUCCCACCCUUUCAGCCCCUCCGUGUUGUUGACUUCAUUCACCCGGCAUAGCCAUUCAGAGUUUUUUAUCUUUCAUAGCCAACAACCUGCACAUAGACGGACAGUUAGAGCUAGCCUCACAUUUCUGAAUUCUCGU